AUUGAACGCUGGCGGCAGGCCUAACACAUGCAAGUCGAGCGGAUGAAGGGAGCUUGCUCCUGGAUUCAGCGGCGGACGGGUGAGUAAUGCCUAGGAAUCUGCCUGGUAGUGGGGGAUAACGUCCGGAAACGGGCGCUAAUACCGCAUACGUCCUGAGGGAGAAAGUGGGGGAUCUUCGGACCUCACGCUAUCAGAUGAGCCUAGGUCGGAUUAGCUAGUUGGUGGGGUAAAGGCCUACCAAGGCGACGAUCCGUAACUGGUCUGAGAGGAUGAUCAGUCACACUGGAAAUGAGACACGGUCCAGAAUCCUACGGGAGGCAGCAGUGGGGAAUAUUGGACAAUGAGCGAAAGCCUGAUCCAGACAUGCCGCGUGUGUGAAGAAGGUCUUCGGAUUGUAAAGCACUUUAAGUUGGGAGGAAGGGCAGUAAGUUAAUACCUUGCUGUUUUGACGUUACCAACAGAAUAAGCACCGGCUAACUCCGG
rnacentral:rRNA from 1 species